CGAGAAGUGAGGAUUGGGCCAGGUCUCGCAAUACUAUGCUUGAGGGCCUUGUUCUCCCAACAAAUAUGUUACGACUUGUGGAACAGCCUUGAAAACAUCUGAUCUC
rnacentral:snoRNA from 2 species